rnacentral:rRNA from 1 species
CAUGCCGCGUGUAUGAAGAAGGCCUUCGGGUUGUAAAGUACUUUCAGCAGUGAGGAAGGUGGUAGUGUUAAUAGCACUAUCAUUUGACGUUAGCUGCAGAAGAAGCACCGGCUAACUCCGUGCCAGCAGCCGCGGUAAUACGGAGGGUGCGAGCGUUAAUCGGAAUUACUGGGCGUAAAGCGCAUGCAGGUGGUUUGUUAAGUCAGAUGUGAAAGCCCGGGGCUCAACCUCGGAAUUGCAUUUGAAACUGGCAGACUAGAGUACUGUAGAGGGGGGUAGAAUUUCAGGUGUAGCGGUGAAAUGCGUAGAGAUCUGAAGGAAUACCGGUGGCGAAGGCGGCCCCCUGGACAGAUACUGACACUCAGAUGCGAAAGCGUGGGGAGCAAACAGGAUUAGAUACCCUGGUAGUCCACGCCGUAAACGAUGUCUACUUGGAGGUUGUGGCCUUGAGCCGUGGCUUUUCGGAGCUAACGCGUUAAGUA